GGGGAAGAAAAGUGCGGCGGGGCUUGGAGCCGGGCGCUCGGGGGCUUUGGGGCCGAGCUGCUGGGAAAGGCAGCUUCUGGUUGGCGAGCGGCAACGCCGUGCGUCGGGGCCGGCGAGAAAGACUGCGAGCCAUGAAAGGCCGGCUGUGGCGGAGAGGGACGGCGAGCGGGAGACGGAGCGGCGGCGGCGGCGAGAGGGCCGAGCUCCCCUCUCUGAAGGCACGGCUCCCGGGGCAGCAGAGGAGAAUGCCAGUUUGGAUCAAAGCCCCUGGCUCAGCCAUCAGUAAGGGAGGAGAAGGAGCAGCAUCUCGAUCCUCGUGGGCUGAUGUCUUCGAAGUGAAAUGAAGGAGGGACCAAACACAUGCCAAAAAUGUACCAAGGAAAUGCAGUACUGCUGUGUGAGAGUGCAAGGACACUCCUGUUAACCAGUCCUUCAUGUAUUUAGUAUGAACCCUUGAUAAGUCAGCAGGGUCUUGCAUGCUGCAAACACUGACAUUUGAUAUCUAAUGUUGUAGUGCUAUUGCUGCUAAGUAUUAAGUGAAAAUGGAAGAAAAAGUUGGAUGGGGGCCUUGGGCAGCCCGGUCUAGUAUUAAAUGGGGAGGUUGGUGGCCAUGCCUGUUGUAGUGGGGUUGCAGAUUCAUGAUCCCUGAGGUCCCUUCCAACCUGGGCCAUUCUGUGAUUCUCUAAUAUUCAAGGUAUUGUUUUCCUACGUGUGUUUUUAUGCAUUGUUUUGUUGUUGUUGUUGUUGUCAGGUGGGCUCUGUAAUAUUGUAAUCUAUUCAAUGCCAGGUUGUGAAUCUAUUAAUCAAAGCUGAAUGUUUCCAGCAAAAGUAUUCUUGAAUAACACUGGGAAGCUGGCUGCCUUUGAGAUGACUGACGUUCACACUGUGCACGUGCAAUCAGGAGUUCUUGGGUUUUGUAUGUUGUACCGGGUGGUCUUUGAGCACUGUAUUUGGUUUUGGAUUGGUUUGAUUUCUUUCUCAACAUGAAGUCUAAAUGAAUGGUUCUAGAGCAUUUCAGGAUUAUGGAAUAUAGAUAUGAAGAGAUAAUAAAAUCUUCAAAGCCAUGUGCUAUUUCCCAUUGCUCACAU
ensembl:lncRNA